UACGGAGGGUGCAAGCGUUAAUCGGAAUUACUGGGCGUAAAGCGCACGUAGGUGGUUUUUCUAAGUCAGCUGUGAAAUCCCCGGGCUCAACCUGGGACUUGCAGUUGAAACUGGGAAGCUAGAGUAGGGUAGAGGGGUGUGGAAUUCCAGGUGUAGCGGUGAAAUGCGUAGAUAUCUGGAGGAACAUCAGUGGCGAAGGCGACACCCUGGACUCAUACUGACACUGAGGUGCGAAAGCGUGGGGAGCAAACAGG
rnacentral:rRNA from 1 species